rnacentral:lncRNA from 1 species
CUUGUGCACACCUCGCCAGGAAGGGGGAGAAGCAGCCCUCCUGGAAGUGGGCAGUGAAGGCUUCCAGAAGGAAGAGGGUGAAGCUGGGGAUGCCCAAGGAUAAGCGCAUGCUCUCACUGGAAAGAUCACUCACUAAGCCCAGAAGAAUUUAGCACGAAACUGUUCUGCUGUGACAUCUACCCCCAAGUCUUCUGUUAUUGAGCAACUUCAACAGCGAGCCUCGGCCUAGCUAAACUGCUGCUGCUUGCUGGGCUCUAGUCAGAGAAGCCACCUUUGUUUCUUUGUCUGCUUCUAUUUCCGUGAAGAGAUACAAUAAGAACCAGGAGCACAGAUGCUGUCUUCUCUUGGACUCUGCAGUGUGGCCUGAGUAACAAACAGUGACUUUUUUUUCCUUUUUCCCCCUCAUUACACUGUAAGCGUGCUGAAAGCAGCCAGAGGAAUGAGGCUCUUGGUGCUGUCAUGGCCUACUGGAGCGACAGCAGCCAGUGCUGCGUCCUUCCCGGUGUCUGUCAC